rnacentral:rRNA from 1 species
UACGUAGGGACCGAGCGUUGUCCGGAAUCAUUGGGCGUAAAGAGCGUGUAGGCGGCCUUUUAAGUCCUGCGUGAAAUCCUGCGGCUCAACCGCAGACGGUCGUGGGAAACUGGAAGGCUAGAGUGCGGGAGAGGAGAGUGGAAUUCCAGGUGUAGCGGUGAAAUGCGUAGAUAUCUGGAGGAACACCUGUGGCGAAAGCGGCUCACUGGACCACAACUGACGCUGAUGCACGAAAGCUAGGGGAGCAAACAGG